rnacentral:rRNA from 1 species
AACGAACGCUGGCGGCAUGCCUAACACAUGCAAGUCGAACGCUCCGCAAGGGGAGUGGCGAACGGGUGAGUAACGCGUGGGAACCUGCCCAGUAGUUGGGGAUAACCGCGGGAAACUGCGGCUAAUACCGAAUACGCCCUAAGGGGAAAGAUUAUCGCUAUUGGAGGGGCCCGCGUCGGAUUAGCUGGUUGGUGAGGUAACGGCUCACCAAGGCGACGAUCCGUAGCUGGUCUGAGAGGAUGAUCAGCCACACUGGGACUUAGACACGGCCCAGACUCCUACGGGAGGCAGCAGUGGGGAAUAUUGGACAAUGGGGGCAACCCUGAUCCAGCAAUGCCGCGUGAGUGAUGAAGGCCUU